rnacentral:rRNA from 1 species
GACGUAGGGUCCGAGCGUUGUCCGGAAUUACUGGGCGUAAAGAGCUCGUAGGCGGUCUGUCGCGUCUGCUGUGAAAACUCAGGGCUUAACCCUGAGCUUGCAGUGGGUACGGGCAGACUAGAGUGCGGUAGGGGAGACUGGAAUUCCUGGUGUAGCGGUGAAAUGCGCAGAUAUCAGGAGGAACACCGGUGGCGAAGGCGGGUCUCUGGGCCGUAACUGACGCUGGAGGAGC